AGCGAGAUAGUGUAACGGUAGCACCACAGUCUCAUGAUCUGUUAGUUUAGGUUCAAUUCCUAAUUUCGCUA